rnacentral:lncRNA from 1 species
AUAUUACUUUUUUUUUUUAGUAGCUUAUUAACAACAUACGUUUAUUAUCUCCACAGGUCAGGAGUCUGGACAGAGUUUCGCUAGGUGUUCUGUAAUCAAGGUAUCUGCUGAGCUGUGAUCUUUUCGGGAACUUGGGCUCUUCUUUCAGGCUCAUGUGAUUGUUGACAAAGUUGAGUCUUUGUGGUUGUAGGACUAAGAUUCCUGUUUUCUUGCAGGCUGUCGUCUGGGAGCAUUCUGAGCUCUUAGAGGCCACCUGCAGUUCCUUGAUAUGUGGCCUUUUCACAGACAGACCCACAACAUGACAGGUGACUACUGUAGGUCACCAAGAGAAUUUCUCUGGGUUUCACUUUUAUAACUGGAGAAGAAAUUCAAUUAAUUAAAAAAAUUCUCUUUGUGACUGUGAAAUUUUGAUUUAUCUAAAAAUAUUUCUUAGAAGGAAGAGAACGAACUGAAAAAUAUAUUUCUACCAUUGUAUCUCAGAAAAGCCCAUUUGCAAGCACGUUUUGCCAUGGAAGAAUAAAUAGGAUCCAUGUUGCUUUCUCUGAAACACUCUUUUCCUUUCUAACACAUUCCAGCUUCCUGUGUGGAACAGGUGGUCAACUAAGCUUUUUUUGUAAAUGCUGAUUGAAAGAAACUCGGAGCACAUGCUGCCUUUUGAACUGCUUAACAUCACUGCCACUCUUCUACCCGCCAGGAAACUGAAUUUUAAAGCUGAUCAUCAUGGUUAUAAGGAGAAGAACAUAGAAGAGAACACUCUUUGCCUAAUUACAAUUUGUCUGCAGCUUGAUGCUAUGUUUGUGGGUGUUUGUAACAAUGGCUCCACACCUUCUGGGCUGCCAGCCCCGGUACACUCAGCUUCUUGUGCUAAAGCUCUUACUUAAGGUGUUCAAGGGAAGCAGUUACUUAAGAAACACAUGUACUGAUUUGAGAAAUCCAUGGAAAUGUGUUUUUUUAAGUCAAAAUAUAUUUUAUUCAAAUACUCAAGGUUAGUUAUUUUCAAAUAAGCAAAAUGGAAAAGAUAAUUACUACACUUCAUUAUGUAAAAAAAGCAAAAAAAAGAUAAGCUAAAAUGUAAGUUUUAGAGAUUGGAAUAUAUUUUGCAGAGGGAUAUGACUCAGCUGCUUAAUUGUUAAAUAGAAAAUUUGCAUUUAAGUUAAUUUUCCCAAAUCCGACAGGAAUCUUUAGAAGCUAUUUUGAAGUAAAUUUUAAAUUGAGUAAAUCUUAGAAACAAUCUCAUUAAACACAUUCAAGAAACUAUGGAAGGAGGCUCCUUUGGUAUGAAGCAGUACUUUGCUGAGUGAGGAAGCAUGGUGUUUUCUGAAAUAACGCAACGUUAUCUUGCUCUGUGAACAAACACAUCUUCAUGGUUGUGAGAGCCAUCUUUGAGCGGCAGAUGGCAAAUGCCCCAGAGUCAUAGUACAGAGAAAGGCUGCUACUUACACUCAAGGCUUGAGGUAAUGGAAUGAAAACCCUGUAGCAGGGUAAGGUAGCCGAGUGUUCUUUGUGACAUUGUUUUGUAACAUUGUUCAAUUACCAUCAUCAUCAUCACCAGUAGUAGCAAUAGCAGCGGUAGUAGUAACUGCAUUUCUUCAGCUAUAUGUGUAACCCUUCUUGUUCUCCCAGUACCUCUGUCAGGUCAAUGUUAGAAACCACAACUUACAGAUAAUGACUUUCUAGUAGGAGGCAGAGCAAGAUUUGGACCUAGGUAGACCUUCCUGACUGUGAAACUCUGAUGUGUGUUCUCUUUCUCCUCUAUCAUACUUCCCCCAUUAUAUAUAUAAUGGGGUAUAUGCUACUGUGUAUAUUAUAUACCCCAUAUUAUCUGUAUUAUUUAAAAAUUCUUUUAAAUAAAUAUCUUUUUUUUUUCUACUGCCUCAGCAAUCUGUAGAUCUGGACUGAGCCAGUUGAGUUUCUUCAGUGAUAGGGUUAGAGUUGGCCAUGUUUGAAGGAAAACUGAUCAGCUGUUCUCAGGGGCAGAGCAAGGAAGCUGG